rnacentral:rRNA from 1 species
CCAGACUCCUACGGGAGGCAGCAGUGGGGAAUAUUGCACAAUGGGGGAAACCCUGAUGCAGCAACGCCGCGUGAAGGAAGACGGUUUUCGGAUUGUAAACUUCUGUUCUUAGUGAAGAAGAAUGACGGUAGCUAAGGAGCAAGCCACGGCUAACUACGUGCCAGCAGCCGCGGUAAUACGCAGGGGGCAAGCGUUAUCCGGAUUCACUGGGUGUAAAGGGAGCGUAGACGGCCAUGCAAGCCUGGAGUGAAAGCCCGGGGCCCAACCCCGGGACUGCUCUGGGAACUGUGCGGCUGGAGUGCGGGAGGGGCAGGCGGAAUUCCUGGUGUAGCGGUGAAAUGCGUAGAUAUCAGGAGGAACACCGGUGGCGAAGGCGGCCUGCUGGACUGCGACUGACGUUGAGGCCCGAAAGCGUGGGGAGCAAACAGGAUUAGAUACCCGGGUAUA